AUCGAACGCUGGCGGCAUGCCUAACACAUGCAAGUCGAACGAGUGGCGGACGGGUGUGUAAUGUCUGGGAAACUGCCCGAUGGAGGGGGAUAAAUACUGGAAACGGUAGCUAAUACCGCAUACCAUCGGCUGUGCACAGAUGUGAUUAGCUGGUGGGUGGGGUAAAGGUGCACCUAGGCGACGAUCCCUAGCUGGUCUGAGAGGAUGACCAGCCACACUGGAACUGAAACACGGUCCCGACGCCUACGGGAGGUAGCAGUGGGGAAUAUUGCACAAUGGGCGCAGGCCUAAUGCAGCCAUGCCGCGUGGGGAAAGAGGGCCUUCGGUUUGUAAAGCACUUUCAUCGAGGAGGCGUUACUCACAGAAGAAGCACCGGCUAACUCCGUGCCAGCAGCCGCGGUAAUUC
rnacentral:rRNA from 1 species